rnacentral:rRNA from 1 species
CCUACGGGAGGCUGCAGUGAGGAAUAUUGGUCAAUGGGCGCGAGCCUGAACCAGCCAAGUAGCGUGAAGGAUGACUGCCCUACGGGUUGUCAACUUCUUUUAUAAAGGAAUAAAGUGAGGCACGUGUGCCUUUUUGUAUGUAAUUUAUGAAUAAGGAUCGGCUAACUCCGUGCCAGCAGCCGCGGUAAUACGGAGGGUCCGAGCGUUAUCCGGAUUUAUUGGGGUUAAAGGGAGCGUAGAUGGGUUGUUAAGUCAGUUGGGAACGUUUGCGGCUAAACCGUAAAAUUGCAAUUGAUACUGGCAGUCUUGAGUACAGUUGAGGUAGGCGGAAUUCGUUGUGUAGCGGUGAAAUGCGUAGAUAUCACGAAGAACUCCGAUUGCGAAGGCAGCUUACUAAACUGCCACUGACAUUGAUGCUCGAAAGUGUGGGUAUCAAACAGGAUUAGAUACCCCUGUAGUC